UACGUAGGGUGCGAGCGUUAAUCGGAAUUACUGGGCGUAAAGCGUGCGCAGGCGGUUCGUUAAGUUCGAUGUGAAAGCCCCGGGCUCAACCUGGGAACUGCAUUGGAAACUGGCGAGCUUGAAUGCGGCAGAGGGGGGUGGAAUUCCGCGUGUAGCAGUGAAAUGCGUAGAGAUGCGGAGGAACACCAGCGGCGAAGGCGGCAUCCUGGACUGGUCCUGACACUCAGGAGCGAAAGCGUGGGGAGCGAUCCGG
rnacentral:rRNA from 1 species